CGUCCGUAAUAUGCGCAUAUGCGUUUAUCAAUCGAUGUAUCCGCUCGAUAUUGUACACGUCGAUAGAUUAUGGUGGGGAUGUCUGCUGAUAAUAAUUUUAGACGAGCGGGCAUCGGUCAGUGAAUAUUAAAUCAGUCGUAUUUUCUCAACUAUCCGAAGCAGUCAUCUCUUCAUAUUAUCGUCCAUCUACACUACAGUCUAGAUUUUACAACAUCUCCGUUCAAAUACAUUCUGAAUUCAUUCUCUCACCACAUUCAACAACGUCAAUAUCCGCAACUAUACGAUCUACUAAAAAUACAAGUGACUUCGGUUCCGUACAUUCAUCAGAUAAAUACCGUGAACUUAAAUACGAUUAUGGCAUUUUUACAAUCGCUAAAGGCUCAAUUGAACUCCGUCAACCUUUCUGUCGGGGAACUACGCAAAGACGUUCGUUACCCCAUACGGUCGAUGAGAAAUGUCGAGACGAAAUUUGGUACUGCAGUGUCUUGCAUAUUAUCGGACCCCGAUGGCGCCGGUUCAAUAAAUAUAUUUCUACCCAAGGCGAUCCGGAUGAACGAUGUGGAUAUUGAAACAUAUAAUUUAGGAGUUGUACCUC